rnacentral:rRNA from 1 species
AAACGACUGCUAAUACCGCAUAAUGUCUACGGACCAAAGGGGGCUUCGGCUCUCGCCUUUAGAUUGGCCCAAGUGGGAUUAGCUAGUUGGUGAGGUAAUGGCUCACCAAGGCGACGAUCCCUAGCUGGUUUGAGAGGAUGAUCAGCCACACUGGGACUGAGACACGGCCCAGACUCCUACGGGAGGCAGCAGUGGGGAAUAUUGCACAAUGGGCGCAAGCCUGAUGCAGCCAUGCCGCGUGUGUGAAGAAGGCCUUCGGGUUGUAAAGCACUUUCAGUCAGGAGGAAAGGUUAGUAGUUAAUACCUGCUAGCUGUGACGUUACUGACAGAAGAAGCACCGGCUAACUCCGUGCCAGCAGCCGCGGUAAUACGGAGGGUGCGAGCGUUAAUCGGAAUUACUGGGCGUAAAGCGUACGCAGGCGGUUUGUUAAGCGAGAUGUGAAAGCCCCGGGNUCAACCUGGGAACUGCAUUUCGAACUGGCAAACUANAGUGUGAUAGAGGGUGGUAGAAUUUCAGGUGUAGCGGUGAAAUGCGUAGAGAUCUGAAGGAAUANCGAUGGCGAAGGCAGCCACCUGGGU